UUGAGCGGAGAUAUAUGGAGCUUGCUUUAUAUAACUUAGCAGCGAACGGGUGAGUAACACGUAGAUAAUCUAUCCUAUACUGGGGGAUAGCCCGAUGAAAGUUGGAUUAGUACCGCAUAUAGCUAUAUAGUUGCAUGAUUAUGUAGUGAAAGAUUUAUUGGUAUAGGAGGAGUCUGCGGCACAUUAGCUAGUAGGUGAGGUAAAGGCUUACCUAGGCGACGAUGUGUAGCCGGUCUGAGAGGAUGAACGGCCACAAUGGAACUGAGACACGGUCCAUACUCCUACGGGAGGCAGCAGUGGGGAAUAUUGCACAAUGGGGGAAACCCUGAUGCAGCUACGCCGCGUGAGUGAAGAAGGUUUUCGGAUUGUAAAGCUCUGUUAGCAGGGAAGAGGAAGGACGGUACCUGCAGAGGAAGCCACGGCUAACUACGUGCCAGCAGCCGCGGUAAUACGUAGGUGGCAAGCGUUGUUCGGAGUAACUGGGCGUAAAGGAUGCGUAGGCGGUUAAACAAGUUAUAUGUUAAAUAUAUAGGCUUAACCUGUAGAAAGCAUAUAAAACUGUUUAACUAGAGUGCAGGAGAGGUAAGUGGAAUUCCUAGUGUAGCGGUGAAAUGCGUAGAGAUUAGGAAGAACACCAGUGGCGAAGGCGACUUACUGGACUGUAACUGACGCUGAGGCAUGAGAGCAUGGGGAGCAAACAGGAUUAGAUACCCUGGUAGUCCAUGCUGUAAACGAUGGGUACUAGGUGUGGGUUGUGAAUAACAAUUCGUGCCGUCGCAAACGCAAUAAGUACCC
rnacentral:rRNA from 1 species